UGGGGAAUAUUGCGCAAUGGGGGAAACCCUGACGCAGCAACGCCGCGUGAAGGAUGAAGGUUUGCGGGUUGUAAACUUCUUUGAUCGGGGACGAAGAUGACGGUACCCGGGGAACAAGCCACGGCUAACUACGUGCCAGCAGCCGCGGUAAUACGUAGGUGGCAAGCGUUGUCCGGAAUUACUGGGUGUAAAGGGCGUGUAGGCGGGGCGGCAAGUCAGAUGUGAAAUACCGUGGCUUAACUGCGGGGGUGCAUCUGAAACUGCUGCUCUUGAGUGUCGGAGAGGAAAGUGGAAUUCCCAGUGUAGCGGUGAAAUGCGUAGAGAUUGGGAAGAACACCGGUGGCGAAGGCGACUUGCUGGGCAGCAACUGACGCUGAGGCGCGAAAGCCAGGGGAGCAAACGGG
rnacentral:rRNA from 1 species